AGAGUUUGAAGUUUCCAAAGAAAGCUGCUAACUUUCUUAGAGUGGUUUAAUUCCAUUAAACUCUU
rnacentral:tRNA from 1 species